GAGGGAGGACGGCUUUUGGGUUGUAAACCUCUUUUAUCAGGGAAGAAUCGAUGACGGUACCUGAUGAAUCAGCAUCGGCUAACUCCGUGCCAGCAGCCGCGGUAAUACGGAGGAUGCAAGCGUUAUCCGGAAUUAUUGGGCGUAAAGCGUCCGUAGGUGGUUUAUCAAGUCUGCUGUCAAAGCGUGCGGCUUAACCGCAUAAGGGCAGUGGAAACUGAUGAACUAGAGUGCGAUAGGGGUAACAGGAAUUCCCAGUGUAGCGGUGAAAUGCGUAGAUAUUGGGAAGAACACCAGCGGCGAAAGCGUGUUACUGGGUCUGCACUGACACUGAGGGACGAAAGCUAGGGGAGCGAAAGGGAUUAGAUACCCCUGUAGUCA
rnacentral:rRNA from 1 species